AACGAACGCUGGCGGCAUGCCUAACACAUGCAAGUCGAACGAGACCUUCGGGUCUAGUGGCGCACGGGUGCGUAACGCGUGGGAACCUGCCUUUAGGUUCGGAAUAACUCAGAGAAAUUUGAGCUAAUACCGGAUGAUGUCUUCGGACCAAAGAUUUAUCGCCUUUAGAUGGGCCCGCGUUGGAUUAGCUAGUUGGUGGGGUAAAGGCCUACCAAGGCGACGAUCCAUAGCUGGUCUGAGAGGAUGAUCAGCCACACUGGGACUGAGACACGGCCCAGACUCCUACGGGAGGCAGCAGUGGGGAAUAUUGGACAAUGGGCGAAAGCCUGAUCCAGCAAUGCCGCGGGAGUGAUGAAGGCCUUAGGGUGGUAAAGCUCUUUUACCCGAGAUGAUAAUGACAGGAUCGGGAGAAUAAGCUCCGGCGAACUCCGU
rnacentral:rRNA from 1 species